GUACACUCCUGCGGGAGGCAGCAGUGGGGAAUUUUGGACAAUGGGCGAAAGCCUGAUCCAGCAAUGCCGCGUGAGUGAAGAAGGCCUUCGGGUUGUAAAGCUCUUUUGUCAGGGAAGAAACGGUGAGAGCUAAUAUCUUUUGCUAAUGACGGUACCUGAAGAAUAAGCACCGGCUAACUACGUGCCAGCCGCCGCGGUAAUACGUAGGGUGCAAGCGUUAAUCGGAAUGACUGGGCGUAAAGCGUGCGCAGGCGGUUUUGUAAGUCUGAUGUGAAAUCCCCGGGCUCAACCUGGGAAUUGCAUUGGAGACUGCAAGGCUAGAAUCUGGCAGAGGGGGGUAGAAUUCCACGUGUAGCAGUGAAAUGCGUAGAUAUGUGGAGGAACACCGAUGGCGAAGGCAGCCCCCUGGGUCAAGAUUGACGCUCAUGCACGAAAGCGUGGGGAGCAAACAGGAUUAGAUACCCCAGUAGUCCCAUG
rnacentral:rRNA from 1 species